CCUACGGGAGGCAGCAGUUAGGAAUAUUCGUCAAUGGGGGAAACCCUGAACGAGCAAUGCCGCGUGAGUGAUGACAGUCUUAUGGAUUGUAAAACUCUGUUGUUUGGAAAGAACAGCUAGUAUAGGAAAUGAUACUAGCCUGACGGUACCAUUCAAGAAACCCACGGCUAACUACGUGCCAGCAGCCGCGGUAAU
rnacentral:rRNA from 1 species